rnacentral:rRNA from 1 species
UACGGGGGGAGCAAGCGUUGUUCGGAUUUACUGGGCGUAAAGGGCGCGUAGGCGGCCCCCGCAAGUCGACUGUGAAAUCUCCGGGCUUAACUCGGAAAGGUCAGCCGAUACUGCGGGGCUAGAGUGCAGAAGGGGCAACUGGAAUUCUCGGUGUAGCGGUGAAAUGCGUAGAUAUCGAGAGGAACACCUGCGGCGAAGGCGGGUUGCUGGGCUGACACUGACGCUGAUUGUGCGAAAGCUAGGGGAGCGAACGGG